GACGUAGGGCGCAAGCGUUGUCCGGAUUUACUGGGCGUAAAGAGCGCGCAGGCGGUCGUUCAAGUCGAGUGUGAAAGCCCCCGGCUCAACUGGGGAGGGUCAUUCGAUACUGAUCGACUCGAAGGCAGGAGAGGGUAGUGGAAUUCCCGGUGUAGUGGUGAAAUGCGUAGAUAUCAGGAGGAACACCGGUGGCGAAGGCGGUUCUCUGGGCAUUACCUGACGCUGAGGAGCGAAAGCGUGGGGAGCGAACAGG
rnacentral:rRNA from 1 species